ACACCGGCAGUAACAGACUCUCAUCCAGAGCCGGCCCUAGCCAAUAGGCAUUAUAGGCAAAUUCCUAGGGCAUCUAGAAUACCCAGGGGCAUCCAUUCCCAAUGCUUUGGCCAGCUCUGUUAUUGCAGCCAGCCAGAAGGAGAGAGGAGAGUUAGGACGGAGGUUGCAGCAGCACACAGAGCCGAAUUUCUGCUCACACAGGUAAGAAGUGACUUUACUUUCACUUUCUGCCUGCCCUGUGGCUGAGCACAGACGGCAGCUGCAGACGAAGCCAGGCAUUGAGCCUACAGAGCCAGGACCCUGCCCCAGCACUGCAGCAUCACAGCACAAAGGAGGACAAAAAGUAAGACAAGAGAUGUAGGCAGGGCAUGAUGCACCAGCAGCAGUGUGGCAGGAAAAGUGUUACUGCUCUAUCCGGAAUGUCGGAGGAGCCUCAUCAUAUGGCUGAUUGGGGUGCACAAGCACUUCAACCUACAAUUUGACUCAUUGUGUCUUCAACAUCGACAGAUACCUCUGAUGUGUCCAAGUGCCAGCUGUUAUGUUCCAGCUAGUGGGUGUUACAGUCCUCUUCAUACUGUAGCAUGCAAAGUAGUGGAGACACAUAGACGGCCACAUGUUGUGCAGCUGCUGGAUAUAUGCCACAACACCAUCAACUGUCAGCAGUCGUUCAACCUCGGGUGCUCCAUUUUAAAGAAACUGCAAUUCCAGCUGGGAGCCCCCAUGAUUGGUUAUUUCCUUCAACAUUUCUUUUUCCUGAAUGUACUUGAUGGGAAAUUGUCACAGGAAAACAAAAUCAUGGCCCUGCUCUAUCCGGAAUGUCUGAGGAGCCUCAUCAUAUGGCUGAUUGGUGUGCACAAGCACUUCAACCUACAAUGUGUCUAUCUGUCAACAUCAUCGACAGAUGCCUCUCAUGUGCCCAAUUGCCAGCUGCUAUGUUUCAGCUAGUGGGUGUUACAGUCCUCUUCAUAGCAUGCACAGUGAUAAAGAGACACAGACAUUAAAUGCAACAAAUGUACCAUACAAGGCUGAACAUGAACUGUGUGUAAUAGAUCCAAAGGAAGAAAGCGUCCGAGAGUAGUAAGAAGGAACUCAACACUGUUGAGGAAUAAGAAGACAUUGCGAUUUUUCGAUAAUAUUUCAGUGGAGUCAAUAAGAAUAUUUGUAUAUAAUAUGGGACACUUUGGUAUGAACAUGAAUACAUGUAACUAAGGAAGAAAGAAAACCUCCAAACAAUUCGUAACAAGUCAUAACAGGACAAACAAAGACAAGACAAUGGGAGGGAAAAAAGGGUAGGGAAUAAGUGCAGUAUUAGAAAAUGAUGAAAGACCAAUCCGCUUGUACAUGAUAAUUUCAAUGAGCUAUAUUUCACCACGUACAGUAUGUUAAAGAAGUAUUCCGGCAACAUCAGUGAACAACCAGGAGUAGGAACAGUUUUUGACAAUUUGUAAUGCUAAUAUGUGCGAUUGUGUUGAUAUCAAGUACAUCAAUAAACAGUGACCAUUUUUGUAAGAA